CCUACGGGAGGCUGCAGUAGGGAAUAUUGCUCAAUGGGGGAAACCCUGAAGCAGCAACGCCGCGUGGAGGAUGAAGGUUUUAGGAUUGUAAACUCCUUUUGUGAGAGAAGAAAAGGACGGUAUCUUCCGAAUAAGCAGUGGCCAACUCCGGGCAAGCAGCCGCGGUAAUAAGGAGGGUGCAUGGGUUACCCGGAAGCACUGGGCGUAAAGAGUGCGUAGGCGGGCUUGUAAGUCAGAUGUGAAAUCCUGUAGCUUAACUAAAGGACUGCAGUUGAAACUAUGAGUCUAGAGUGUGGGAGAGGUAGGUGGAAUUCUUGGUGUAGGGGUAAAAUCCGUAGAUAUCAAGAAGAAUACUCAUUGCGAAGGCGGCCUACUGGAACAUUACUGACGCUCAUGCACGAAAGCGUGGGGAGCAAACAGGAUUAGAUACCCGAGUAGUC
rnacentral:rRNA from 1 species